CUAAGAGUUGUCUACAUGUGGGCUAUAACACUUCUCUGCCCAGUGUGUGAGUUGGCGCCGGUGAUACUGUCAACAUGAAAUCCAGUGGUGCUGCUCUGUUCACAAGGAAGAAUCCCUUCCCGUCAGACCCACCUCUGGGAAAAACACAUUACAACCCCUCACGCACCAAGAAGCUUCCAAAGCAACAGAGGAAAACCACCCUGAGCCCUGUUCGCCUUGCCCAGCUGUCCAGCCCUCCUCACCAGACACACACACUGAGCCCAGAGGACCAGUGCUUCCUUGGGGCAGCCAACCACUUUGUCCUCUGUCCUCCUCCUGCCACAGAGGCCCAGCCUAGUUUCUUAGAGUCCUGGCCCUCCACUGACCUUGGGUCCUCCCCGGCCAACACUGCCGCCUCCCCGAACAGAGACACACUGACACGGGACCCAACAUCGGGAAAGUCCCUGGUCUCCACUGGGGGAGGAGAGCAGGAAGAUUCAGUGUUGGCAAAGUACAUUGAACGCUUUCGUCACGGAAGGCCACAGAGUCGAGAGGAGCGUCAGCAGAUGUCGGCAAUGGUGGGAGAGGGCCAGCAGCCUUUCUGGUGGCUGUCCUCCUCCCCUCUACCCUCCAGUUCUACACCCACUCAAACCACUGACAUAGGCCUUUCCCUUAAAGACUCAGCCACCACCCUCAGUCCAGUUGGGCAGUUUUGGCAUGGCACCACCCUCUCCCCAUGCAGGGGACUCCUUGAUCUUAGUGCCAUGGGCCUGUCAGACUCCUCUCACGGUGACCUUGGAGACUCAGAGAUACUGCAUCUACAGGAGAAGGCCAGUAGACUGCUACACAGAAGUGAGCACUCACUCAGUAGUGGAUCUAUUCCCAUCAGCUCUGAGGGCCUGGGCUGCUCCAAUUUUUCCUCCCCUGUGAGCAUAGAUGAGCCAGUCCGAAGGCCUAUAGUUACCAGUCUUAUCGACUCAACCACUGUUGUGGGGAACCUAGGCUCAGCAGACCUCUAUGCUGGAACCGCGCCCAAACCGUCUGUGGUUGGUCCCCCGGACCCCCGCACAUGCCCAGAGGAGGACAUCCUGUUUCAGUGGCGUCUGAGGAGAAAGAUGGAGCAGGCCAGUCAGUGGGUUCAGUCAAACCCACAGCAGGGUUACACCCUUCAUCAGCAUGCUGUCAGCUGUCAGGCUCACAAGGUACAGUGGAAUCCUCUCUCUGCUUAUUCCUCUCAUAGAGUUGCCCCCUCCCUCCCCAUCUCCAGCCCCACCAUCUCUAAGUUGCAGCCGGAUGCCCCGGUCCGUCCCCACAUGCACCUCCUCUGUGACAUCCUUCCUUGUACGGCUCAACCCCACUCCCCUCCACCGAGCCACCAGAGGAGCCCAAAGAGGAGUGGGGUCUCUGGGGCCGACCGGACCGUCAGGCAGCCCAAAGCCCAGUUCAGCUCCACAGACACGUCCACUGAGGAGCCCACUAGUAAACAUGAGUCCUCUCCACCACCACCCGCCUUGUCUGAGACCACAGAGGAAGAGUGGGCAGUUCAACAGAGAAGAACCGAGAGGACAAAAAAGGAGACACUUCAGAAGGAGAGGAGUGAGAAGCGGACAGGGCCGUCCUGCAGAAAGAAGAAAUCAGCCAGGUGUCACGUUGGUGACAGGGACCAUGCUGAGAGGCCCAGCUAUGCAGAUUGGAGUGUGAGCCAACACCACACCAGAGGUAAAGACAGGGUCAUCCCAUGGAGGGAGGAGCCCAGCAGAGACUGGGGGCAACAGGAAAGGGGGCCGGGGGUAGUGAGAGAGGGCUGCCCUGGAGAUCGUGCUCCACCACCCUCUCCCAUACACAGCGCCCUGGGACAGGUAGUUUCAGAGGUACUGUUCCUGACCACGGACUCUCCGGACCCGCCCAGAACCCCUGUGUCCUCUGACUCUCCCAGAUACAUGCCCCCACAGUCCCCCGCCCCGCCUCCCAGUGCACAGCAGCCCCGGGAGGUCGUAGCUCAGCUGCUGCAGGAGGCUGAAGAUUCAGACGAGCAGGAGUUUAAAGAUGACCCCUUACUGAAGGUCUUAAGGCAGCAGAGGAAGUGGGUGAAGGAGCAAAUCGGAGAGGUAGACUCGCUGUUGGAUGAAUUCGAGGAAGAGUGA
rnacentral:lncRNA from 8 species